UUAUAUGGGAGAAAAGCAAUAACGCCGCACAGUCUUUCAACUAUAUGGAGGCCGGUGGAAAUAGUAGUACACCACCACCGAUUUCACUGAAACUCAACGUAUGCUCUAGUUUUACUUAGAAAUAGAGAA